UACGGGGGGGGCAAGCGUUGUUCGGAAUUACUGGGCGUAAAGGGCUCGUAGGCGGCCAACUAAGUCAGACGUGAAAUCCCCAGGCUUAACCUGGGAACUGCGUCUGAUACUGGAUGGCUUGAAUUCGGGAGAGGGAUGCAGAAUUCCAGGUGUAGCGGUGAAAUGCGUAGAUAUCUGGAGGAAUACCGGUGGCGAAGGCGGCGUCCUGGACCGAGAUUGACACUGAUGAGCGAAAGCGUGGGGAGCGAACAGG
rnacentral:rRNA from 1 species